rnacentral:tRNA from 1 species
AAGGGUGUAGUUUAAUUUGGUAGAGCGUCGGUCUCCAAAACCGAAAGUUGGGGGUUCAAAUCCCUCCACCCUUG